UGACCUCGGAUCAGGUAGGUA
rnacentral:rRNA from 1 species